rnacentral:rRNA from 1 species
CCUACGGGUGGCAGCAGUGGGGAAUAUUGGACAAUGGGGGGAACCCUGAUCCAGCGACGCCGCGUGAGUGAAGAAGUAUUUCGGUAUGUAAAGCUCUAUCAGCAGGGAAGAAAGAAAUGACGGUACCUGACUAAGAAGCCUCGGCUAACUACGUGCCAGCAGCCGCGGUAAUACGUAGGGGGCAAGCGUUAUCCGGAAUUACUGGGUGUAAAGGGAGCGUAGACGGUGAUGUAAGUCUGGAGUGAAAGGCGGGGGCCCAACCCCCGGACUGCUCUGGAAACUAUGUGACUGGAGUGCAGGAGAGGUGAGCAGAAUUCCUAGUGUAGCGGUGAAAUGCGUAGAUAUUAGGAGGAACACCAGUGGCGAAGGCGGCUCACUGGACUGUAACUGACGUUGAGGCUCGAAAGCGUGGGGAGCAAACAGGAUUAGAUACCCUUGUAGUC